UCCAAGUACCGAUUUAGCUGAAAACAGUUGGUAAAAGAUGAAAUACCUGCAGGUUUUUAUUUUGGGGCUCCUUUUAAUUCUAAGCAUUGACUAUAGUGAGUGCCUUCUGCCUCCACCGAAGUAUGACCCACAGGACUUGGCGGGCUGUAUACCAGGGUCCUACGUACAGAGCCGUCACUACCACAUAGCCUGUCUGUGCGUGAGUCCCGGGGUUGCCGACGAGAAUAAAUGCAUCGAUACCUAUUCAGUAUAG